AUUAUGCAACUGUAGCAAGAAGAAACAAAAAAAACAAAACAAAAAUAUGUAAGAUUCUUGACAAGAUAAUAUCCCUUUUCGGACACAGUUAGUUAAUUUUGGCACUGUUUUAUCAAAUCUGGAAGCUUAGAGGAAGAGAUAGGGCUGAGCACAAGUACUCGUUACUCGUCUUAUACUCGCUACUUGACUCGUACUCGCCUUGAAAAAACAAGUACUCGUUGUUAACAAGGCAAGUAACAAGUAAUAUAAUUUAGAUACUUGCAAGUACAAGUCAAGUAACAAGUAAUGAAAAAAAAACUAAUACUUGACUCGUUUGACUCGUUACUUGUCAUUAUUUUACCAUUUUAUAUACAUAUAUUGUAUUGUUUUAGUGUUAGACACAUUUUAAAACUAUAUUAGAAGUAAAGUAAAUUUUAAAUAAGUAAAAAAUAUGAUAAAUAAAAUAAUAAGUAAUUUUAAGUAACUCGAAAGUGUUACUUGCAAGUAAUUUCUCAAAUACUUGUAAAUAACUUGUAAGUAAUUCGCAAGUAGCAAGUAAUAACUCGCAAAUACUUGUAAAUAACUCGCAAGUAGCAAGUAAUAACUCGUAAGUACGUGUAAGUAACUCACAAGUAGCAAGUAACAGGACCAGGCAAGUAACUCGCAAGGCAAUCAUAUUUUAGCAAGUACUUGAAAUUGCAAGUACUCGUUUUCAACAAGCCAAGUACAAGUACUUAUUUUGAUUACUCGUACAAGGCAAGUCGAGUAACAAGUAUCCCUAAAAUAGCAAGUACUCGCCUUGUGCCCACCCCUAGGAAGAGAUGGCUGAAAUUCUCAAAAACCAAACUGCCAAAAAGGGUACAAAAUUCAAGUUUCUCUUUGUUUGUACACUAUUACAUUGAGAUUUGAUAAG
rnacentral:sRNA from 1 species